UCAGUCGCGUUAUACAGUCUGUCGCGACGAGAAAUGGCGGAGACACGAGAGAAGGUGGCGGGUCUUUCUACAUUUACUUCUGUCCUACGGAAUCAUUACUACGUCUCGAGUUAAGCGAAGCGAGAACGCCCGUUGACGGCAGCCGUUGAUGCGUUAAAGAUCGUCAAGGCGGCCCAUUCAUAACUCGUGCAUCGUAAUUGACGAGCCAUGUGAAAGGAGGAUCGUCGACGAGCAAAUCUUAUCGCUUGGAAGAUGUAAGCAGGGAGAGACACCCUUGCAGACUCCGUCCUGUGUAUCGUUCAAUGGAGAAGUCACGAGAUAAUUGUACAUGCAUACCUACGCGUUUUGAUAUUAACGUUCCGUACGAAAGAGG